UCUACGACCAUGCUUGGUGAGCCGCCAUUAGCUAGCUUUAGAGGUGGAUUAUAUACAUCGACAGACAAUGAUAGCAAUGAUGAACAAUUUGUGUGAAAUUGGGUCUGACCUGCUUACAGAUUUUGGAGGCACAUCAAACGGUAGAGAGAACACUGGAGUGUAGGUCCUGAAGAAGCUCUAGGUGGUUUUAACAUAGGAGGCCAAGGAGAUAGAUUAAACUAGGAAAAGGGGCAAAGGUGGGGCAACUUGUGCGAGAAAGGCAACAGAUUAAAUCAAAGAUUACAACCAUUCAGGAUAGGCAGAAAACCCAUGUUCUUGAAUUUUGUAACAAAGAAGUAACCGAGAAAAAGAAUACUAUCUUGGCUCUCUUUAUACACUAGAGUCAUAUUAUUGUGUCACUUGGCAUUAUCAUAUUGGUAGAAGUCUCAAUCCUUCCCUUACAUGGACAUGACAUAUUGUGUCAUUGAUCAAAUUAAGAAACCUUUUUGAUCAGUAUGUCUGAAAGAAUUUCAUAGAAUCCCUAUUCAAUUGACAGAGUUGUUCAUAUUCCAUUGACCAGGGAAGCUUUGAAUGGCCUACAUAUUCCAAUAAUGCUCUCUCUCUA